rnacentral:lncRNA from 1 species
UGGACAGGUCCCACUCUUCUUUCUGCUGAAAGGGGAAGUGACACCAUCACAUGGAUGCUCUGAAAUAGUCUUUGUGUUAUUUUAGGAGUGUUUGUGUUUUCUCAGCACUUUUUCAGGAACUUUCAGCGUCACUGACACACAGAUUUCCUCUUUUAUUGAGAGUUUACUUCCUUAGAAAAAGCGAAGUGAUGCACUGAGAGACUCCUGUGAGUGAGUCCCUGAGACGUCUGUCGCCCCCUGCUGUUCACAGCUGGAAAACGACUAGUUUACUGUCUCACGUCUCCAUCGGCAUUUCUCUGUGUUCACAGCUCCACCCACCGGCACCACCCCCAUGCCAGCUCUCCCUGAGCAGAUCACAGGUACUCACCUGUCACCUGUCGGGCAGCUUUAUUGAUAUCCUGUCAGUCCAUUAAAACGUUCUGUUUAUGACCCUGAAAAACACACGUCCCACUCAGCGUCGUCUUCUUCUGCAGAUUACUUUGUGUCUCUGGUUGUGUGUGUGGUUGUGAUCGUCGUGCUGUCGGCUGGUUUCCUGCUGCUCCUCUACAGAUGGAUGGAGAACAGGAAAAACAGGAAUUCAGAUGGAAGACAGGUGGAGAUACCUGCGGCCCAGCAGAAGAACGGAGCUCCAGGGUCCACAUGUGAAGACUCCACCUACCAGACCAUGACUCCAGCCCCCACAGACCUGGACCACAUCUACUCCACCCUCACUGACAUGCAGUACAUGUCACAUGUGCGAUACAUUCAAACGGACACAAUUUCCUGCAAAUCAGUAACAUCCCAGUAAAAUCCUGAAAUGUUUCCAUCACAAACUCAUCCACAGAUACGUUUGUGAUGUUUAUAAUUGUAUAACUAUAAACAUCAGUUAUAAUAUUAAUCGUUUUCAUGUUUUUUUAUUUGUGUAUGUUUGUUAUUACUUCAGUUUAUAAGCCCCGCCUCUCUGAGCUGUGGGUGUAAAUGAACGCUAACCCCCUAACUCUGACCUUCGCCAGUCUCUUCUGUUGCUGCCGUCCCUACAGACGCUGUAUUUCACAUCACGUAUGUUGUAUGAUUGUCACUGAUCUAAUGACUCAAUAACUUUUGCUACAAUGUGAUUAAAGAGGCCACUUUGACCAGCUUUAGCAUUAAAAUGCUGUUUGGAUGGGUAAAUAAGAUUACACUAUAUAGUGAGUUUUGGUAUCAAACAUAAUUAACCUUUGUACUGUAAAUUCUUUACAUGAUUUGAAUGGUUCCUGUUUACCUGUGUCUAAUAGUAAAAAGUCGUAUUGCUGCACACUUUGUCUGAUUCUUAGUCCUGUGACUGUUGCUGGUCAGUACGAGCACUGAUGCUGGUGCUGGAUCUAUACUAGUGUGCUACGAUCACUUUCUUUCUGUCCUCUAAGUUCAGCAUGUAGCUCACUGAACUGUGUUAAAUCAGUCAUUUCUUUGGAAAUAAAAAAUGUACGUCAC